rnacentral:rRNA from 1 species
GUGAGGAAUAUUGGACAAUGGAUGGAAAUCUGAUCCAGCCAUGCCGCGUGCAGGAAGACGGCCCUAUGGGUUGUAAACUGCUUUUAUACGGGAGCAAUAAGGUCUAUGCAUAGAUUGAUGAGAGUACCGUAUGAAUAAGCAUCGGCUAACUCCGUGCCAGCAGCCGCGGUAAUACGGAGGAUGCGAGCGUUAUCCGGAUUUAUUGGGUUUAAAGGGUGCGUAGGCGGCUUUGUAAGUCAGCGGUGAAAUUUUGCAGCUUAACUGUAAAAGCGCCGUUGAUACUGUGAAGCUAGGAUUUGGUUGCUGUGGGCGGAAUGUGUGGUGUAGCGGUGAAAUGCAUAGAGAUCACACAGAAUAUCGAUUGCGAAGGCAGCUCACAAAGCCAAUAUUGACGCUGAGGCACGAAAGUGUGGGGAUCAAACAGGAUUAGAUACCCUAGUAGUC